rnacentral:lncRNA from 1 species
GGUAGCAGAAGCUUCAGGUUGUGAAGUUGUUUCUUUUGCAAUAGCAGAAGCCUCGACAACAGUAGCUGCAGCAGGAGAUUUUUUCUGUUUCUUUUUCUUCUUCUUCUUCCUCUCUGAUUGUUCUAAAGGAGGGUCUUCAGGUGAUGCCGGAGUAUCAGGUUGUGCCUCAAUCUCAGAGGACUUGUGCUCAAGAGUACCUUCUUGGUUGGGUUGGUGUUCUUUCCUUUUCUUCUUCUUUUUCUUUUUCCCAUCAGUAAUGGAUUCAGCAUUAUGAGGGAGAUCUUGAGUGUUGGCAACGGUAGUUUGCUCAUGGAUGGUCGAG